rnacentral:rRNA from 1 species
AGCGAACGCUGGCGGCAGGCCUAACACAUGCAAGUCGAACGAGCCUUCGGGCUAGUGGCGGACGGGUGAGUAACACGUGGGAACGUACCUUUAGGUUCGGAAUAACUCAGGGAAACUUGAGCUAAUACCGGAUGUGCCCUUCGGGGGAAAGAUUUAUCGCCUUUAGAGCGGCCCGCGUUAGAUUAGCUAGUUGGUGGGGUAAUGGCCCACCAAGGCUACGAUCUAUAGCUGGUCUGAGAGGAUGAUCAGCCACACUGGGACUGAGACACGGCCCAGACUCCUACGGGAGGCAGCAGUGGGGAAUCUUGCGCAAUGGGCGAAAGCCUGACGCAGCCAUGCCGCGUGAAUGAUGAAGGUCUUAGGAUUGUAAAAUUCUUUUAGCAGGGACGAUAAUGACGGUACCUGCAGAAAAAGCCCCGGCUAACUUCGUGCCAGCCGCCGCGGUAA